AUUUGGUCCUUAGGGCAGUUAAUUUAUCUCAUUGACAAAUGUAUAAUUAUUGUAGAUUGUGGAAAAAACUAGUUACAAAAAUGAUCUUAGACAAUUCUUGAGUGGCAUAAGUUAUUCUGUUUUUAAAUAACAGCUGUAUAUUGAGAUGUGGUGGAAAUGACAUUUGUUCAUUGCAGGUCAGAAAAAAAUUAAAAUAUUAACAAUUUCUCUUGUAAUCUCAGUUUGUCCUCUUACAGACCAUAAAACUAGACAUUAUUUAAACUUAUGAGACUGUGUUAAGUGACUUUUGAACAAGUUUUUUUUUUUUUUUUUUUAAUUCAACUUCAUAAGGCUAAAAGUGCCCCUACUUGAAGAAACGCCCUUAACUGGUUUCAUUGAUUCAACUUGACUGAUAAAUACAAGAAUAUGGCAAUAUAUGGUUUAUCUGAGUUCUUAUUAUAAUUUUCAUCAUAAUAAAGAAUAUCUAUAAUGAAAUGCUAAUCGACAUUAUUACUGCUUAGAAUACAAUGGAAUAUUGUGUGCCUAAAUUAAGUUAGGCACACAAUUACUCGACUGACGUUAUGAAGUGAGUUUGGAGUAAAAAAUGUUAUUAAAGGUGGUAUUUUCACGUGCUCUCAGAUGGAGUAGCAUUUCCUACACAGAGCUGUAGUACAGCUGUCAUUAUCGUGAGCUAUUUCGUCAAUUUCAUAAUCCUACGAUUAUAUCGUCUGCGAUUAUGAACGCGAUUUCGCAUAGCUUAUCAGAGAACUAUGGCUCUGUGUAGUAAAUGCUGUUCUACCUGAAAGCAGGUGAUGGAGAUUUACUGCUAAUCAGAGAACGGCUCUACUGACAAAAUGUGCAUGACAAUAACAAUUAAAUGCGUUCGAUUUAUCGUGCAGCCCUACAACCCAUAAAAAAAAACCCUCUACACCGACCUUCUCAAAUGCAGACACCAGACAGAAUUGUAAGAGGCAUCCUACACAGUUUCCUUGAUGAUCAUCUCAUCGUCCGCAGAGGACAGUGUUUCAACAUGUGGGUUGAUCUGUGCCGUCCUUUCAAUCCCAGUUGUGACAAGCUUCACCUGGAGCUCAAACUACUGUCAUAUCCCAUCCAUCCGGGACGGCACUUAUGUGAUUGUUCCAUUAGUGGAAGAAUUUAAGAAAGACUGCUGGGGGGGAAAAGAUCAUCGAACAAGGUGAAAACCAAAUCCAACUGUGUGUGCAAUACAAGCUUCCUUCAUCAGAACAACAGAAACAGAUAAUGCUUGCCUUAGACCAUGAUAGAUAAUGACAGCUAAGACAGAUAUGUGAAACAUCUAAACACUUAUUGAACAAUAAGGUGCUUUAGAUAAAAAUAAAAAAUAAUAAAAAAUAAAUAAAACA
ensembl:lncRNA